AUGAACGCUAGCUACAGGCUUAACACAUGCAAGUCGAGGGGCAGCAUUUUAGUUUGCUUGCAAACUGAAGAUGGCGACCGGCGCACGGGUGAGUAACACGUAUCCAACCUGCCGAUAACUCCGGAAUAGCCUUUCGAAAGAAAGAUUAAUACCGGAUGGCAUACGAAUAUCGCAUGAUAUUUUUAUUAAAGAAUUUCGGUUAUCGAUGGGGAUGCGUUCCAUUAGUUUGUUGGCGGGGUAACGGCCCACCAAGACUACGAUGGAUAGGGGUUCUGAGAGGAAGGUCCCCCACAUUGGAACUGAGACACGGUCCAAACUCCUACGGGAGGCAGCAGUGAGGAAUAUUGGUCAAUGGGCGAGAGCCUGAACCAGCCAAGUAGCGUGAAGGAUGAAGGCUCUAUGGGUCGUAAACUUCUUUUAUAUGGGAAUAAAGUUUUCCACGUGUGGAAUUUUGUAUGUACCAUAUGAAUAAGGAUCGGCUAACUCCGUGCCAGCAGCCGCGGUAAUACGGAGGAUCCGAGCGUUAUCCGGAUUUAUUGGGUUUAAAGGGAGCGUAGGUGGAUUGUUAAGUCAGUUGUGAAAGUUUGCGGCUCAACCGUAAAAUUGCAGUUGAAACUGGGAGUCUUGAGUACAGUAGAGGUGGGCGGAAUUCGUGGUGUAGCGGUGAAAUGCUUAGAUAUCACGAAGAACUCCGAUUGCGAAGGCAGCUCACUAGACUGUCACUGACACUGAUGCUCGAAAGUGUGGGUAUCAAACAGGAUUAGAUACCCUGGUAGUCCAUGCCGUAAACGAUGAUUACUAGGUGUUGGGGGAUUGACCCCCUCAGUGCCGCAGUUAACACAAUAAGUAAUCCACCUGGGGAGUACGACCGCAAGGUUGAAACUCAAAGGAAUUGACGGGGGCCCGCACAAGCGGAGGAACAUGUGGUUUAAUUCGAUGAUACGCGAGGAACCUUACCCGGGCUUAAAUUGCAACAGAAUAUAUUGGAAACAGUAUAGCCGUAAGGCUGUUGUGAAGGUGCUGCAUGGUUGUCGUCAGCUCGUGCCGUGAGGUGUCGGCUUAAGUGCCAUAACGAGCGCAACCCUUAUCUUUAGUUACUAACAGGUUAUGCUGAGGACUCUAGAGAGACUGCCGUCGUAAGAUGUGAGGAAGGUGGGGAUGACGUCAAAUCAGCACGGCCCUUACGUCCGGGGCUACACACGUGUUACAAUGGGGGGUACAGAAGGCGGCUACCUGGUGACAGGAUGCUAAUCCCAAAAACCUCUCUCAGUUCGGAUCGAAGUCUGCAACCCGACUUCGUGAAGCUGGAUUCGCUAGUAAUCGCGCAUCAGCCAUGGCGCGGUGAAUACGUUCCCGGGCCUUGUACACACCGCCCGUCAAGCCAUGAAAGCCGGGGGUACCUGAAGUACGUAACCGCAAGGAGCGUCCUAGGGUAAAACUGGUAAUUGGGGCU
rnacentral:rRNA from 1 species